GUAGCGUAUAUUAAAGUUGUUGCAGUUAAAAAGCUCGUAGUUGAAUUUCUGGCCAGCGCUGUUCUCGGCUCUCUGAGUCGGUUCAGUGUUUGGUCAUCCGUAUGGGAAGCUAGCUCGGCCUUCACUGGUCGGCUAGUGGAUCAUACACUUUACUUUGAAAAAAUUAGAGUGUUUCAAGCAGGCAAUUGCUUGGAUACUUCAGCAUGGAAUAAUGGAAUAGGACUUUGACCUAUUUGUUGGUUUCUUCGAGGUCAAGGUAAUGAUUAAUAGGGACAGUUGGGGGCAUUCAUAUUUAAUUGUCAGAGGUGAAAUUCUUGGAUUUAUUAAAGAUGAACUUAUG
rnacentral:rRNA from 1 species